GAGGAAAAGAAACCAACAGGGAUUGCCUCAGUAACGGCGAGUGAAGCGGCAAAAGCUCAAAUUUGAAAUCUAGCACUUUCAGUGUUCGAGUUGUAAUUUGAAGAAGGUAACUUUGGUUUUGGCUCUUGUCUAUGUUCCUUGGAACAGGACGUCACAGAGGGUGAGAAUCCCGUGCGAUGAGAUGCCCAAUUCCAUGUAAAGUGCUUUCGAAGAGUCGAGUUGUUUGGGAAUGCAGCUCUAAGUGGGUGGUAAAUUCCAUCUAAAGCUAAAUAUUGGCGAGAGACCGAUAGCGAACAAGUACAGUGAUGGAAAGAUGAAAAGAACUUUGAAAAGAGAGUGAAAAAGUACGUGAAAUUGUUGAAAGGGAAGGGCUUGAGAUCAGACUUGGUAUUUUGCGUUCCCUUCCUUUUUGGUUGGGUUCCUCGCAGUUUACUGGGCCAGCAUCGGUUUGGAUGGUAGGAUAAUGACAUUGGAAUGUAGCUUUACUUCGGUGAAGUGUUAUAGACUUUGUUGAUACUGCCUAUCUAGACCGAGGACUGCGUCUUUGACUAGGAUGCUGGCGUAAUGAUCUUAAGCCGCCCGUCUUGAAACACGGACCA
rnacentral:rRNA from 1 species